UCUGUCAGCAGCCGUUUUUUAUCCCCUCCUUUAUUAUCUCACGUACCCUCUGUUGCUGAGCGUGAAAUGAUCGUUUUGCCUCAUCAUUCAGGCGACAUUAUCCUCACUGAUCUUCCAGUGUCUACUCCCACCUUCAUGAUCCGUCUUCUGCUGAAUGAUUCCACAGUUUAGGGACGUGUUCUAAAUCUGGCACCUUGCAAGCAGCAAAGGGAUCUAACCGUGAAAGCUCAGACUUGAUCCCGAGGGAUUUAUUAUCUUUUAGUUUCCCCGUGAAACGCUUUCCAUUGCAGUGAACUUUCAGCAACAGCUCCAGCCUUCGCCCAAGAACCAAUGGCUUGAGACUGAAACACUGUCAUUCGGUCCGAUGGGAGUCGGGGAGAUUAGUAUUUUCGGUCUUAUCUCUUUCGAAAUAUCUGUGUAGAGAAGGCGUCAGGAUUGUUUUCAUGUGUCUUUUACAGCUGCUGGACAGACCGUGUGUGUGUUAUCUGGAGCGGACAGCAUGGCACGUUUCCACUUGUAUUUGAACUCCGCAAUGCUGGUGUUAAUUACUUGUGAUUUCCGCCUAGUGACAGCCACUGAUAGACCACCUGCUCCUGUUAAUGUCACUGUCAGUCACCUGAAGGCCAACUCUGCCACUGUGUCCUGGGAUAUUCCUGAAGGAGAUAUUAUCAUUGGCUAUGCCAUUUCACAAUUGAGAAAAGAUGGUCAGAUGCAAAGAUCUAUCCGUGAAGUGAAUACAACAAAUCGAGCCUGUGUUCUGUGGGAUUUGGAGGACGACACGGAAUAUGUGAUUCAAGUUCAGUCAGUUGGUCUGAAUGGGGAAAGUCGGGCAAGCAAGCGUGUCCAAUUCAGAACUCUAAAGGAAACUGACUGGGUUCCUUCAAAUAGCUCAAAUAAAGAUGACCCAACAGUCCAGGAGAUGAACUUACCUUUGCAGACAGGAGAGAUGAUUAUUAUUGUGACUGUCUUGAUCAUGUGGGCAGCUGUUAUAGCUCUCUUCUGCAGACAGUAUGACAUCAUUAAAGACAACGACUCAAAUAAUAACAAGGAGAAGGCCAAGCCCUCAUCAGAACACAGCACGCCAGAGCAUCCGACUGGUGGAUUAAUGCGCAGUAAGUUCCAAAAUAACACACCGGCAAUUAACAUCAUUGAAGUUUGACUACUGCAGUAUGGCUCUACAAAUGGGACAAGUAUUCAACAGACUAAAGGAACAUUGUCUAAACCUUAUGAAUCCAUAUUUAGCAUCAUUAAUACCAUCUUUAUGCCGAAAAGCAUGCCAUAGCAAAGGCUUCCUUUCCUCAAAGGACCUGCAUGGAGAUUAAGGCUGUGCUUAAGGGAUUCUUUCUUCAGCAUAAAGGGCCACCAAAGGUGACCCAUGCAGAUGAUGUCCAGAGACAUGCAGUAUUGGCUCAGAUCUACAUGAAGCACUGCAGACAUCAGAGCAUCCUACUCCAUUGAGGUCCUGCUCUCAUUUAAUGGUUUGCCAAUCUAACAUUCUUUGUCAAGUUUGUGGGGACCAAUAUGAUGGUCAGCUCAGGGACUCAACACCUGGAAAGAGCUCAAUUAUGAUAUAGCAUGGUUCUAGAUCUGCACUCAGUGAAUUUCCAUGCACCUAAUGGAUUGAACAGAUAAAGUUCUGUUGGAAACUUUAACAAGGAAGCAAAUGUGGUGUUGAAAUCCCAAGAAAGAUCAACUGUAGUGACAAAAUCAAGAUAUUGCUGAUGUUAAAAAUCUGAAAUAUAAACAGAAGAAACUCAGUAGGCCGGGCUGCAAGUGUGGAAAGAAAAAUGACAUUUCAAGCUGAUGACCCUUUAAAUGAACAAAUGUAUUGUAAAAAAGUGGAAUGAUUGAGUUGGUGUUAAAAAAGAGAAUUUAAACACUCCUGAAAGGUUUAGAAAAUAUAGAUAAGUUGCGUAUUAUUGUAGCAAACUGUAUGAAAUAGGAAGAUCAUAUUCUCUGUUCAAGUGGCUGAUCCCAGCUGAAGUGAAAAUCAGGGUGCUUCAAAAAAGAGAUUAGUCAUGGUUUCCAUUCAGUAGCCAAAACUGAGAAGUAUUCAGGCAUGGAAAUCGGUUCAGGGCAAAAUCCUGCUUGAAUGUCAUACUACUUACAGCUUGUUGUUGAAUCUUGCACACAAAUUAAAGUGACCACUUUGCUUAGGUUCUGCAGUGCAACAGGCUGCUCAGGAACCAAAUCCAAGUAUUAAUCAGCAUUGAUAGAGCAUAUGUGAAAAUAAUUAGGAGUAAGUAAACAUCCUCUCAGUUAUACAACAGAGUUCUAAGGAUGCUAAUAAGUUAGACACUCUUGAUAAUUUCAGUGGAAAUUUAAGACUGAGUUUAAAAAUGGAAACUUAGGUUGUACUGGCAUACUAUUUUAAGUAGAACUAUUAGCUAACAGUCCAUGCCUCUCUUCCCAUCUCCUCACAAUGCUCCCCACCAAGUCCAUCGCAGACUAAUUUUAUUUUAAAGCUGAUUAAUUUGAUGCACCAUCUAUUGAAAUGCUAGGAAAGCUGAGCAUAUUGUUUCAUAAUAACCGCACGUUGUUUAUGAUAACAAUGCAGAAAAUGUCCCAGAGACCUACCUUGCACAAAAAUUGCAAUUGUGAAAAUUAGAGAGAGUGCAGGACUUAUAAAAGGUUUCUAAUUUGAAGUUGAUGAACUCACUUCCAGGAUAUGCAACAAAUUACAGCUUGAAUGUAGAAUUUGGCUGAGCUGUAUAGAUUCAGCAUGUGUAUACUACAUUGUGGCAUGGCAUAGUAAAAUAUACAUGAUAUUGGAAUCUGUGUUAAAUGCAAAGGCCCCGUAUUAUUUCAGAGAAUUUGUCAGUAUGGCACUGAAAUAUCAAAUUGCUGGGGCCUGCUCAAAGAUACAGUGAACUGCUUCAAAUGGUCUGAUGUGGGAUUCAAAAGUGAAGAAUAAUUUGUGAAUUUUUUUAGCAUGUUGUACGUCAUAUGUAUUUUUGUAUGAAUCAUUCUUCUGAACAAUACAGGUUAAUCACUCCAGUGUUCUCCACAAAUGCCAUGUUUCCUCACUUUGGAGUAUAGUUAUUUCUGCUGCUAGUAUUACUGCAAGCCAUAAGUGGCCCAAAAUUGGAAAUUUUACUUUGCUGAGCUUGAAAACUAGCAAAAGAAGGAAUUUCAACCACUGUCAACUUCUCCAGGGCAAUAAAUACCAGCCUUUUAGGUGUUGCCAACAUUCUGGGAACUACUUUUUAAAAUAUUUUACCACCAAAUGUAAUCCAUAUUUGCCAGCAUUCUUGAUCCUAAAGGAAGAAGUAUAUAUUUUGGGAAGAUAAUUUUUGUUGUGAAGUAUAUUCCACAUAGAAAAACAGAAGUAGUAAAUAAUUUCAUAAAUAAGAUUGCUAUGUUUAAAAGAAUCAAAAAUUAGUAUAUCGCCAGUUUCUAAAAUGGGUCAGAAACUGGGUCAGCAAGAAAGGCAUACCAUUUGUCUGUCCACUUCAACAUGUUUCUUUUUAUAAAUGACUUAAAGUUGACACAGUUAUUUUAACUCUGCUCAUCUCUGGAAUUGGGUAAACAUGUAGCUAGGUCUAAUGGAAUGAAAGCUUCUUCUGCCCACGAGAUGUAGAGGCCUCACAUGAAGCAGUUUUGGGCAUUAGCAACAGAGUUCUUGGUGCAGUUGGGAUUCAGAGCAACAAAUCAGCACCUAUUCUGGCAUCAACUGGGACUAAAUUGGCAGAUUAACUCAGACAGGUUGCAUGGAUGACUGUGCAGGAAAUGAAUAAAAUGCUACACGACUCCAGGAAAGGAUUAUUUUCUAAAUUGAAGUAGAAGCAUACAGUUAAAGUAAAGUGCAUUGUUAUGUGAGAAUAACUGGUUCUGACACUCAGUGCCCAGAAAUUUACUGAUAAUCAUUGAAUAAAUAUUAAUAACAAAAUUAACUAGUGGAUCAUUAGGAGAUAGAAUCACUAAUAUUAAAUAUUUUACUGCCAAUGUCAGUUUGGCAGGGUAUUUUGAUUAAUCAGUUAUGAAAAAUCGGUGUAUUAUCUGAGAUCCUUGUUUGAACAUAUAUGUUAUGUUUGUUGGCCUGGCUAAGUCCACUUUUGAAGAGUAAAACACUGUCAGAGAAAUGAAACAGAGCCUAUUCAUUCAGAGGCAGUCUAGAAGUGGUUUUAGUAUUAAAAUUAUGUUUAAUAUUGCUUUUCUGUACUCCUAAGAUUUAUGUAUAAUUGAAAUUAUCCAUAUCUAAGC